AGAGUUUGAUCCUGGCUCAGGACGAACGCUGGCGGCGUGCUUAACACAUGCAAGUCGAACGAGGCUCUUCGGGGUCUAGUGGCGAACGGGUGAGUAACACGUGAGCAACCUGCCCCUGGCUCUGGGAUAGCCUCCGGAAACGGGGAUUAAUACCGGACAUGACUUCCUGCUGCAUGGCGGGGGGUGGAAAGUUUUUUCGG
rnacentral:rRNA from 1 species